rnacentral:rRNA from 1 species
UACGUAUGGUGCAAGCGUUAUCCGGAUUUACUGGGCGUAAAGGGAGCGCAGGCGGCGCGCCAAGUCUGAUGUGAAACCCCGGGGCUCAACCCCGGGCAUGCAUUGGAAACUGGCGGGCUGGAGUGCCGGAGAGGUAAGCGGAAUUCCUAGUGUAGCGGUGAAAUGCGUAGAUAUUAGGAGGAACACCAGUGGCGAAAGCGGCUCUCUGGCCUGUAACUGACACUGAGACUCGAAAGCGUGGGGAGCAAACAGG